rnacentral:rRNA from 1 species
AGAGUUUGAUCCUGGCUCAGGACGAACGCUGGCGGCGCGCCUAACACAUGCAAGUCGAACGAGCGAGAGAGAGCUUGCUUUCUCGAGCGAGUGGCGAACGGGUGAGUAACGCGUGAGGAACCUGCCUCAAAGAGGGGGACAACAGUUGGAAACGACUGCUAAUACCGCAUAAGCCCACGACCCGGCAUCGGGUAGAGGGAAAAGGAGCAAUCCGCUUUGAGAUGGCCUCGCGUCCGAUUAGCUAGUUGGUGAGGUAAUGGCCCACCAAGGCGACGAUCGGUAGCCGGACUGAGAGGUUGAACGGCCACAUUGGGACUGAGACACGGCCCAGACUCCUACGGGAGGCAGCAGUGGGGAAUAUUGCACAAUGGGGGAAACCCUGAUGCAGCGACGCCGCGUGGAGGAAGAAGGUCUUCGGAUUGUAAACUCCUGUUGUUGAGGAAGAUAAUGACGGUACUCAACAAGGAAGUGACGGCUAACUACGUGCCAGCAGCCGCGGUAAAACGUAGGUCACAAGCGUUGUCCGGAAUUACUGGGUGUAAAGGGAGCGCAGGCGGGAAGACAAGUUGGAAGUGAAAUCCAUGGGCUCAACCCAUGAACUGCUUUCAAAACUGUUUUUCUUGAGUAGUGCAGAGGUAGGCGGAAUUCCCGGUGUAGCGGUGGAAUGCGUAGAUAUCGGGAGGAACACCAGUGGCGAAGGCGGCCUACUGGGCACCAACUGACGCUGAGGCUCGAAAGUGUGGGUAGCAAACAGGAUUAGAUACCCUGGUAGUCCACACCGUAAACGAUGAUUACUAGGUGUUGGAGGAUUGACCCCUUCAGUGCCGCAGUUAACACAAUAAGUAAUCCACCUGGGGAGUACGACCGCAAGGUUG